UAAUACGAACCGUCCAAACGUUAUUCGGAAUUACUGGGCUUAAAGGGUACGUAGGCGGCGCUGUUAGUCGGGUGUGAAAGCCCUCGGCUCAACCGAGGAAUUGCGCCCGAUACUGCAGUGCUUGAGGGAGACAGAGGUAAGCGGAACUGAUGGUGGAGCGGUGAAAUGCGUUGAUAUCAUCAGGAACACCAGUGGCGAAAGCGGCUUACUGGGUCUCUUCUGACGCUGAGGUACGAAAGCUAGGGGAGCGAAGGGG
rnacentral:rRNA from 1 species